GCAGCUGAAGAAAAUGCAUUUUUCCAGCCCCCUUGUGAGAUGGGGUGGCCAUAUGACCACGCUCUGGUCAGCAGAAUGCACCUUUAGAUAUGAAGACCAAAAGGCACAGGGAGGCCUGUGUAUCUUUAGGCUAAGCUUGAUGGAGAGCGGACAGUGGUGGAAAAGGUUCUGGAUCCCAGAAGCCUGACAUCACGGUAUCGGCAGGGCCGUGCUCCCUCCUGGGAAGCUUCCCUCCCCUCUUCCCUCUUCUGGCAUUGCUGGUGCGUCAGCCCGGUCUCCACCUCCGUCUUCACACAGCCAUGACCCCGUGUGUCUCUCCUCCUCUUCAGAUGUUCUUCAGUAAGGACAUCAGUCAUGUUGGAUUAGGACCCACCCUGAUGACCUCAUCCUAGCUCACAUCUCGAUGUCAUCUGCAAAAAUCCUAUUUCCAAAGAAGGCCACUUCACAGGCCCCAGGACUUAAGAUUUUAAUGUAUCUUUUGCAACAAACACCUUAGCGAAAUUUCUUGCAACACACACCUUGGUUUAAUGUUCUUGAACUAAUCCACUGGCCUCUGGGACUCAGGCAUAGCUCUUUGGGCCUCUCAAACUGGCCUGAUGUCCUGGGACCAAAUUUGCACUGUGCCUAACCUUGGGCUGAGGAUUUUUGCCAGAAAGCUCUGGUCUCUCAUACCCCAGGCAGGCCCAUCCUUCCAGUCCUCCAGGCAAAGCGAAUCUGAACUGUGUUAGUUCUAGGCUGUGCCAAGUCCAGGCUCCCUGAGGUUUCUACACUGCCUUUAUAUUUAUAGAUCUUAAAAAAAAAAAAAAAAAAAAAAAGGUACUGUUUCUGGUAUGGUUUGGCUGUGUUCCCACCCAUAUCUCAUCUUGAAUUGUAGCUCCCAUCACUCCCACUUGUUGUGGGAGGGACUUGGUAGGAGAUAAUUGAAUCACAGGGGCAGUUCCCCCAUACCGUUCUCAUGGCAGUGAGUAAGUCUCACGAGAUCUGAUGGUUUUCUACGAGGAAAACCCUUUUGCUUGGUCCUCACUCUCUCUUGUCUGCGGCUAUGUAAGGCAUGCCUUUUGCCUUCCACUAUGAUUGUGAGGCCUCCCCAGCCAUGUGGAACUGUGAGUCCAUUAAACCUCUUUUUCUUUAUAAAUUACCCAGUCUCAGGUAUGUCUUCACCAACAGGGUGAAAACAGACUAAUACAGUUUCUCCCCGGCUUCCCUGAAGACCCACCAGUGUCAGAGGAAGGCGACUUCACAGCCCAGCACAUCUGGGACUCAGCUCACUUCAAGGGUAAAAAUCUCUUUGAAGUCACAUGUUUUACUCAAAAAAUCUCGUUAACUUUCCUUUUACUGCUUAAAGUACUUGUGUUUGCUUUCUCGUUGUAAGAAUGGUUUUUUGCGCGUAUCUUCAGGUGCAGUCAAUGCCCAGGAAUUGUGCACUACCUGCUCUUGAAGGGCCCUUUUCUCCUCAGUUCCUGGGGGUGCUUCCCCUGCUUGAGAAGCACAGGUCUUUCCUGUUAGGGGUUAGGGUUAGGGUUAAGCCCUCAUGUCCCAUCCUGGAUUUGAUCUCUACCACCCUGUGGAAUGACAAGAAAUCUAUUUCAUUUAAAAAAAAAAAAAAAAAGUUAAACAGCUUUCAAAAGUAAAAAAAAAAAAAAAUUAUUUUUUUUUAAUUUCUGAAACAAUUUUUAAAUUAAAAAAUUUUAUUUUAAAUAAAUUGGGUUUUUGUCCCCCAUUCCUGGCACGCAGCCCCUAAACGCCUUUCCUGAGUGUCAGGGCUGUCUUUGGUGUUGGCCAGGAGCCCCUUCCCAUCACACCUGAGUGCCUGCUAACAAAGUAAGCGAGGCUGGGUCCUGGGACAGCCUCAGGAUGGGGUGGGCAUGAGAAAGACCAUGCCAGUAGAGGGUGGGAACUUUCAGCCUCACCCACCUGCCUCUGGGAAAGGGAGUGGGGGUGCUGGUAAUCAACCUCUAUAAAAUCUCUUAAUAACUGUAUUUGAUGAGCUUCCAGGUUAGUAAACGUAUCCAGGUGCCAGGAGGGUGGCACCCCCCAGCUGCUGCACUCAGGACCCUUCAGACCUCACCCUGCAUAUUCCCCACCUGACCGUUCAUCUGCGUCCUUUAUAACAGGGGCCCCAACGCCCUGGCCACAGACCUGCCUACGUGUGUGUCUAUGUGUGUGUGUGUGUGUGUUUGUGUGUGUAUGUGUAGACAGGGUCUUGUUAUCUUGCCCAGGCUGGCCUCAAACCAGGGCCUCAAGUGAUCCUCCUGCCUCAGCCUCCCAAAGUGCUAGGAUUAUAGGCAUGAGCCACAGUGCAUGGCCUCUGUUUCUUUUUUAUGUUUUCAUUUUCCCAACCCAUUUUGAAUGUUUCACUGCUCUGAAAUGGUCUGUCAAAUUAGUUACCUGAGUUCUCAAAUACGUGUCCUUGUUUUCAAGGGUUUACAUAAGUAACCACCCACUUUAAUCAGAACACUAUCCAAUUGACUGUCUGAGUACAGGAAUCUAGUUGGUUUUCUUCCAGUCUUCAACUGCAGAAAAUUUCUUUGCUUCCAGAUUUUGUUUCAAACUAUUUCUAACUCCAAGUAAACUCGUCCAUUUGCUUAGGGUUAGCCCACAUUCCCCGCAUCCCCCAUCUCAGACAACACCAUUGGGUCUCCCAAGAUAUCCCAAGGAAAUCAAUAACAAUUGAUUAUUAUUAAUUCUCUGACGCUCUUAUCCAUGCUUGGAAACACGCACUGACUACUGAAUACAGUUGAGGUUCACAUCGUAAUUUUGUUUUCUAGUAAAUCUGUCUUUACUAAUAAUAGUAUUUACAGAAGAAAAAGUAGAACUCAUUCUAUUUUUAUCUUGGAAUGCAUGAUACCUCCAGGUAAAGUGGGGUUUUUUGUUUUUUAAUGUGUAAGUUUCAAACUGUUAAUUUAGAAAACAUUUCAAACUUACACAUGAGUUGCAGUCAUAAUAAAAUGACUCCUUCAGCUAGAUGUAUCAAUCGUAAACAUUUUGUCACAUUGUCUCAUAAAACAUGUUUCACGUCUCUCUUUCUCUCUUUGCAUAUAUGUGUAGAUACUUGCAUAUGCACUUAAUUAUGUUCAGAUUUCAUCAUUUGAGGGUGAUUUACAGAUAUAAUGAUCCUUAGCCCCUAAAUAACUUCCUCAUAUAUCUCCCAAUAAAAAGGUUAUUCCCUUACAUAACUUCAGUAAAAUGACGAAAUUCGGGAAGUUGAAGGUUGCCAUAAUACUAUUAUCUAAUUUACAGACUAAUUCAAAUGUCACCAACUGCCCCAAUACACUGGUAAACGUAUAAUGCUUUAGGGGUAUGUUGAGGUCCUGUCAACUGAGAUGAAGAGAUGUUAACUUGCUUUUGAAAAUGAGUCUAUAUCAUUAAAAAUUUCUAAAUUCCAAGUUCUAUGGUGAGAAAGAGACUCAGUCAAUAGCAGUUAUUUAAGUAUUCAAAAACCUAUUGGCACGAUGACUUUGGCAACAUUUAGACUAAAAUUGAAACCAUGCAGAGAAAAUUAACAUGGCCCCUGCACAAGGAUGACACAGAAAUUCAUGAAUUGUUUAAUUUUUUUUCUGAAUAGAAAAAAGCAAUCUGGACUGAAUUGCAUUCCUCUAAAAUUCACGUGUUGAAAGUCCAAUCCCCGAUGUGACUGUAUUUCUUGAUAGGGCCCGUAAACGGGUUGUUAGGUAAAAUGGGGUCAUGAGGGUGAAGCCCUAAUCCAGGAGGACUGUUGUUUAUAUAAGAAAAGGAAGAGAUACCAGCGACACACUUGCAUAGAGAAAAGGCCAUGUGAGGACACAGCAAGAAGGCAGCCGUCUGCACCCUGAGAAGAGAGGCUCAUGAGAAACACUCCUGUUGGCACCUUGAUCUUGGACUUCCAGCCCGCAGAACUGUGUGAAAAUCCAUUUCUGUUGUUUAAGCUGCCUGCCUGUGGUAUGCUGUUACGGCAGUCUUAGCAGGCUGGCACACUGGGUGAAAAUAGAGGUAAAGGCAAUAGACUCACCUUCUCGAAAGUUUCUUAAAUCAUAUUUGAUGGCUGAAGCAAACCUAACACCAUAUGAUGUAGUGCUCAAUGUAAAAUACUUAGGAACAUUUUAUUUAAAAAGUAGGAAGUGUCAAGGGGCCUAAAUGGAAGUAAACAUUCAAUACUUCACUCAAAGUGGUACCAUUUUUAUAUGAGGAGGCUAUGAUAAGUUACAUCUAUACAUAUGUAUAUGUGUGUGUGUGCAUAUAUAUAUAUAUAGAGAGAGAGAGAGAGUACAAUCACCAGGAGGACAAUACAAGGUUAUAUGAUUUUUAAAUACAUGAAUAAAGUAGAAGGGAAUUCUAGAAAAUGCUGAGGUAAUCUACAGGAAGGAAAAGAAAAGGAAAUGAGAAACAGAAAACAAGUAAUACAGUGACAGACUUAAACCCUAAAUAUCAAUUCUAAUCUAAAUCCAUCAGUUCAAUGACAGAGGUUGGCAAAAAUAGAUAUAAAUACACUACCCAACUACAUGCCAUCUACACAUGUUGGUGGCUCAUGCCUGUAAUCCCAGCACUUUGGGAACCGAGGCAAGCAGAUCACUUGAGGUCAGGAGUUCGAGACCAGCCUGGCCAACAUGGUGAAACCCUGCCUCUACCAAAAAUACAAAAAUUACCCAAGCAUGGUGGUGUGCGCCUGUAGUCCCACCUACUCGGGAGGCUGAGGCAGGAGAAUCGCAUGAGGCAGAGGUUGCAGCGAGCCGAGAUCAUGCCACUGCACUCCAGCCUGGGUGACAGAGUGAGACUCUGUCUCAGAAAAAAAAAAAAAAAAAAGGAAUAAGUGAAAGGAAAAAUAGACAAACUCACAAUUAUAGUUGGACACUUCAUCACUUCUCUUUCAGCAACUGAUAGGACUAUUACACAGAAAAUUGGCAAGGAUAAAGAACUGAACAAUACCGUCAGUCAGCAUGAUUUCUAGAGCAUUCCACCCCAAGAUAGCAGAAUACACAUUCUUUUCAAACAUCCAUGAAUGUUCCAAGAUAGACCAUAUCCUAGAUGAUUUUUAAAAAUCAAUAAAUUUGAAAGAAUUAAAAUUAUACAAAGUAUGUUUUCUGGUCAUAAGAGAAUCAUACUAGAAAUCAAUACAGAAAGACAAAGGAAAAUCUUUAAAUAUGUGAAAAGUAACCAACACACUCCUAAAUAAUUAAACAUCAAAAAGUAAAUCUCAGAAGAAAUCUGAAAAUAUAUUGAACUGAAUAAUAAUGAAAACAAAAUGUGUCAAAAUUUGUGAGAUGCAGCUAAAGCAGUGUUAAAAGGAAAAUUUAUGACAUAUAUAAAUGUCAUAUAUAUGCAUAUAUAUAUGAAAAGAGGAAAAGUCUGAAAUCAUUUCUCUAAGUUUCUACCUCACAAAACUAGAAAAAGAAGAGCAAACUAAACACAAAGCAAGCAGAAGGAAAGAAAUAAUGAAGAUAGAAUAACUCAAUAAAAUCGAAAACAGGAAAGGAAUAGAAAAAAAUCAGUGAAACAAAAAGCAGUUCUUUAAAAAAUCUGAAAAAAUCUGUAAGUCUCUAGCAAGACUUACAAAAAUAAAAAAAACAUAAAUCACCAAGGUCAGACAAAAAAUCACUAAUAAAACAGGAAUAUCAGUACAGAUCAAUCCUUCAAUCAUUAAAACAACAUUAAAGAAUAAUAUUAACAAAAGAUAGACCUCAUAAAUGAAUUCAGUAAAGCUGCAGAAUACAAAAUAACAAAAAUCAAUUGUGCUUCUAUAACAAAGAAUGAACUAUCUGAAAAAGAAAUUAGGAAAGCAAUUCCAUUCACAACAGCAACAAAAAGAAUAAAAUAGGAAUACACUUAACCAAAGACAUGAAAAACUUGACACUGAAAAUUAUAAAACAAUGAUGAAGAAAAUUAAAGAAGACACAGAUAAAUGGAAAGACAUCCUGUGUUCAUGGAUUGAAAAUUGAAAAAAUUGUCAAAAUGUUCAUACUACCCAAAGAGAUCUAAGAUUCAAUGCAAUCCCUAUUAAAACUCCAAUGGCAUUUUUUUAUAGCUAUAGAGGAACAAACCUAAAAUGUGUAAGGAACCACAAAACACUCUAAGGAGGUAAAUCUAUCUUGAGCAAGUAAGAUAAAACUGGAGGCAUUAUACUACCUGACUUCAAAAUAUAUAACACAGCUAUAGUAAUCAAAACAGCAUGGCACUGACAUAAAAACAGUCACUUAGACCAAUGGGACAGAAUAGAGAGCCCAGAAACAAAUCUAUGCAUCUGUGGGUCAAUUGAUAUUUAACAAGAGUGCCAAAAACACACAAUGGGGAAAUAAUAGUCUCUUCAAUAAAUACUGUUGGGAAAACUGGAUAUCCAUAUGCAGAAGAAUGAAAGUGGACUUUUUCUCAUACCAUAUGCAAAAAUCAACUGAAAAUAGAUUAAAGACUUAAACAUAAGUCCUGAAAUCAUAAAACUACUAAAAGAAAACAUAAUGGAAAAGUUUCUUGACAUUGGUCUGAGCAAUUGUUUUGUGGAUAUGACACAAAAAGCACAGGCAAUAAAAGCAAAAAUAAGCCAGUGGGAUUGUGUAAAAUGAAAAGCUUCUGCACAGCAAAGGAAACAAUCCACAGAACAAAAAAACAACCUACAGAGUGGGAGAAAAUAUUUGCAAACCAUAUAUCUAAUAAGGGGCUAAUAUUCAAAAUAUACAAGAAACUCAAACAACCCAAAAGCAAACAAAUGAACAAGCAAAACAAAUAACCCAAUUAAGCAAUGGGGUAAGGCACCGAAUAGAUAUUUCUCAAAAGACACGACAUACAAAUGGCCAACAGGUAUAUGAAAGUGUGCUCAACGUCACUAAUUUUCAGGGAAAUGCACAUCAAAAUCACAAAAAGAUAUCACCUUACCCCUCACAAAAGAUAAUGUGUUGGUGAGAAUGUGGAAAAAAGGGAACCAUUAUGCAUAGUUUGUAAUGUAAAUUGGUAUAGCCACUAUAAAAAACAGUGUGAAGUUCCUUAAAAAAUUAUAAAUAAGGCCAGGCAUGGUGGCUCACACCUGUAAUCCCAGCACUUUGGGAGGCCGAGAUGGGCAGAUCACCUGAAGUCAGGAGCUUGAGACCAGCCUGGCCAACAUGGUGAAACACUGUCUCUAUUAAAAACACAAAAAAAUUUUCCAGGCAUGGUGGUGGGCACCUGUAAUCCCAGCUACUUGGGAGGCUGAGGCAGGAGAAUCACUUGAACCCUGGUGGUGGAGGUUGCAGUGAGCUGAGAUUGUGCCACUGCACUCCAGCCUGGGUGAUUAGAGUGAAACUCCAUCUCAAAAAAAAAAAAAAUUAUAAAUAAGAACUAGCAUAUGAUCCAGCAAUUACAUUACUAGGUACUUAUCCAAAGGAAAUGAAAUCAGUGUCUCAAAGAGAUAUUGCACCCCCAUGUUUAUCGCAGCAUUAUUCUCAAUAGCCAAAAUAUGGAAACAAUCUUAUCUCUUAUCAUUUGUCCACUGAUAAAUGAAUAGAUAAAGAAAACAUGGGUAUAUUAAUAUACCGUGGGAUAUUAUUCAGCUUUAAAAAGGAAGGAAAUCUUGCCAUUUGUGACAACAUGCAUGAACC
rnacentral:lncRNA from 1 species